CGACCGGGCGUGCGUGCCGCCGUUGAUCCGGUGCUGCAGUGAGGAGGUGGUUCUCGCCCGUGUUGUGUGUGUGUGUGUGUGUGUGUGAGUGUGUGUGUGAGUGAGAGAGCGAGUGAGUGAGUGUGUGUGUGUGUGUGGAGAUUCGGCUUGUUGUUGUCGGUGACUUCCCCCUCCCCUCCACCCCUCCCCCUUCCCUGCCGCCGCUGCAGUGGCCGCUCCCUGGGCCGUAGGAAAUGAGCGAUAACGAUGACAUCGAGGUGGAGAGCGACGAAGAGCAACCGAGGUUUCAAUCUGCGGCUGACAAACGGGCUCAUCAUAAUGCACUGGAACGAAAACGUAGGGACCACAUCAAAGACAGCUUUCACAGUUUGCGGGACUCAGUCCCAUCACUCCAAGGAGAGAAGGCAUCCCGGGCCCAAAUCCUAGACAAAGCCACAGAGUAUAUCCAGUAUAUGCGAAGGAAAAACCACACACACCAGCAAGAUAUUGAUGACCUCAAGCGGCAGAAUGCUCUUCUGGAGCAGCAAGGGGAAAGCGAGAGCUGAUCAAGUUCUUUGUUCCUGGGGAAUUCACUUCUCUUCCUCCCUCAUGGAAGAUGCAAGUAAAAGGAAAUGCAAGUAACCACCUGGUCCGUGCACUGGAGAAGGCGAGGUCGAGUGCCCAACUGCAGACCAACUACCCCUCCUCAGACAACAGCCUCUACACCAACGCCAAGGGCAGCACCAUCUCUGCCUUCGAUGGGGGCUCAGACUCCAGCUCGGAGUCGGAGCCCGAAGAGCCCCAAAGCAGGAAGAAGCUCCGGAUGGAGGCCAGCUAAGCUCCGCGGGGCAGGCCAGCAAUAAAAACUGUCUGUCUCCUCCGUCGUCUUAUCCUCCUUUCAGUUCAUCUUUAGAACCCUCAGAACCAUUUAAGAGACUUUUUUUUUUCUCUUUCUCUUUUUUUGUUUUUUAAAUUUUAUUUUUAUGUAGAAGCUCUUGGACAACAGCUCUCAUUCUCUUUCCCCAUCCCCACUGGGUUUUUUUUUUGUUGUUUUGUUUUUUUUUUUUCAAUGUUUCCCUUCAGAGAUUCCCUGUCCCCACCAGGAAUUUUUAAACCAAAACACCCAAACUUGGCAGCUUUUUCUGUGGAGGACAGACGGCCGGCCAGACCUCUGAGCACAUGGUGUCCUGACCACCCACCAGCUCCUCCAGCCCUGUCGGGCCCGUGCCCGGGGGACCCCUGCCCCUCUCAGGCCUCUCCUCCCGGGCCACCCUCACCUCCGUUUGAUAGACUUUGUGAAUCUGUGGACUGCUCUACUUUAAGAAGAUGACCAGUUUGGAGUAAUCAGAAUUAAUCCCCCUUCUUUUUAAGGAUUUUUUUUCCUAAAAAGCUAUUCAUCGCUCCUAAUGAAAGACCAGAUCCUUGAAGAAGUUUGUGGUAUAAAAGGAAGUGGGGACAGAUUGGCAGCGCAGAGUCCUUGGCCUGUUUCACUCCUGCUUCUCUCAGCCAGCCUUAGGGAGGGCCGCGUGAUGCUCGUGUGGUAUGUGGGGAACGGCAGCAGUGAAGCAGCAGCCGCCAAGGGGUAGUAGGGGGUGGGACAGGGAGGGAGGAUCGGGUGGGGUAGAGGUUUUGUAUUGAGGGCCAGUGAUGAUGUUUUGAUAUUUAUUUCCUGCUACUGAAAUUUGAAUCUGAGUGGAUUGUCCCUGUUUCUGAUGAUGUCGGUAUUGCAAAGCGACAGAUUCAUAAAGCAAUGAUCAAAUCUUCCUUUCUUUCCGUGUGUAUUUCUAAGAAAUAGAGUCAACUGAUUUUGUAUGUAAAUACCAAGAGCAGUUCACCUGGUACUAAACCCGCACCUCAGUGCGGACCCCUCCCCACCCUCACCCCGCUCCCCUUCCACCUGUCCUGGAAACCUGUCCCCGUUGUGUGAUCCAGCCCUGGUCUGGCUGCGGUCAGCAGAUCCCAGUGAAGGGUUUUGUGUGUUUAGGCCUCAUUUCUUUGUCUUUUUCCUACUCUGUUCCCGGCAUUUGCUGAUUUCUAGUGUAUACUCUGUAGUCUCAGUCCGUGUUUGAUUCCAUUCCAUGGAAAUAAAAAGUAUGUUGUACAUACUGCUAAAAUAUCGUCUUGCAAGUUAAGGCUUCCCCCUUUACUAUAAGACUAUAAAUAAAAACUUAUUUUAUCCUUC